CAUGCAAGUCGAACGGUGGUCUUCGGACAUAGUGGCGCACGGGUGCGUAACACGUAUGCUACCUACCUUACAUUGGGGGAUAGCCUUUCGAAAGGGAGAUUAAUACCGCAUAAGACAGUAGCUGGGCAUCCAGCAGCUGUUAAAGAUUUAUCGAUGUAAGCUGGGCAUGCGUCCAAUUAGCUAGUUGGUGAGGUAACGGCUCAUCAAGGCUAUGAUUGGUAGGGGAACUGAGAGGUCAAUCCCCCACACUGGCACUGAGAUACGGGCCAGACUCCUACGGGAGGCAGCAGUAGGGAAUAUUGGGCAAUGGACGCAAGUCUGACCCAGCCAUGCCGCGUGCAGGAUGAAGGCGUUAUGCGUUGUAAACUGCUUUUAUACAGGAAGAAACGACUCUUGCGAGAGGCAUUGACGGUACUGUAUGAAUAAGCACCGGCUAACUCCGUGCCAGCAGCCGCGGUAAUACGGAGGGUGCAAGCGUUGUCCGGAUUUAUUGGGUUUAAAGGGUGCGCAGGUGGUUUAUUAAGUCAGUGGUGAAAGACGGUCGCUCAACGAUUGCAGUGCCAUUGAAACUGGUAGACUUGAGUAAAGUAGAGGUGGGCGGAAUUGAUAGUGUAGCGGUGAAAUGCAUAGAUAUUAUCAAGAACUCCAAUUGCGUAGGCAGCUCACUUGGCUUUUACUGACACUCAUGCACGAAAGUGUGGGUAUCAAACAGGAUUAGAUACCCUGGUAGUCCACACUGUAAACGAUGAUAACUAGGUGUCGGCCGAAUCUGGUCGGUGCCACAGCGAAAGCGUUAAGUUAUCCACCUGGGGAGUACGCCGGCAACGGUGAAACUCAAAGGGAUUGACGGGGGUUCCGCACAAGCGGUGAAGCAUGUGGUUUAAUUCGAUGAUACGCGAAGAACCUACC
rnacentral:rRNA from 1 species